GAAAAACCUCCUCGCCGGAAGACCAAGGGUUCCUGUCCAACGUUAAUCGGGGCAGGGUAAGUCGACCCCUAAGGCGAGGCCGAAAGGCGUAGUCGAUGGGAAACGGGUUAAUAUUCCCGUACUUCUUACAAUUGCGAUGGGGGGACGGAGAAGGCUAGGUGGGCCUGGCGACGGUUGUCCAGGUUCAAGUGCGUAGGCUUAAGAGUUAGGUAAAUCCGGCUCUUUCUAAGGCUGAGACACGACGUCGAGCACCUACGGGUGUGAAGUCAUUGAUGCCAUGCUUCCAGGAAAAGCCUCUAAGCUUCAGAUUGUAAGGAAUCGUACCCCAAACCGACACAGGUGGUCGGGUAGAGAAUACCAAGGCGCUUGA
rnacentral:rRNA from 1 species